rnacentral:rRNA from 1 species
UACGAGGGGGGCAAGCGUUGUUCGGAAUUAUUGGGCGUAAAGGGGGCGUAGGCGGUUUGGUAAGUCUUAUGUGAAAUCUACAGGCUCAACUUGUAGUCUGCAUGAGAAACUGCCGGGCUUGAGUAUGGGAGAGGUGAGUGGAAUUCCUGGUGUAGCGGUGAAAUGCGUAGAUAUCAGGAGGAACACCUGUGGCGAAGGCGGGUCUCUGGGCCGAUAUUGACGCUGAGGAGCGAAAGCGUGGGGAGCGAACAGG